CGGGGGGUUGGGUCAGGUCGCUCUUAGAGAGCAGUUGUCUAGUUGUAUAGCUCACAGAGAGCACUUGUCUCCUGUAUGGAAUUACCAAGGCCGGUCAUGGAGAACGAUGGCGCUGCCUGAACGAUGUAGUAUAAGUGCAGCACUUCGUGAACAAUAGGCUGUCAUUCCCCAAGAAACGUUCCAGCACCUGACUGAACGUGUGCCUGCGAGAGUGGAAGCUAUCUUCAAGGCUAAGGGUGGGCUAACACCAUAUUGAAUUCCAACCUUACCGAUGGACGGCGUCACGAACGUUUUCAGAUGUACCAGAUCGCCACUCUUCUAAACACGGUACAACAAUUACUGGUAAAUCAAACACCUAAUGCCGCGCCACAGGCGACAACUGUAGCUCCGAGGGCCAUACUGCCUUUUCGCCAGUUUAACAAAAGAGGAGAACAAUGGCUUGAGUGGUUGCAAGAGGAAGAAGCCCACAUCAUUGCUCACGAAGUAUCAGGUACUGUGAAACUACAUUACUUUUUGUGAACCGGAGGAAGUGCAGUUGUUCGCCUCAUUCAGAAAUUUGUACCCUAGCGCCACUUCAAGUCAACUUUCCUAUGACCAGGUUAUAGAAUCUCUGACUAACUAUUAUCACCAACAAGUGAAUGUGGUGGCAGCUAGGUACCAAUUCUUUUGUUGCAACAAAGAUCAGAUCAAACUUAUUGUGAGUGGUUACAGAUUUGCAGAGUAUGAUGAGGAAAUGCAAAUUCAAAUGUGCUUGUAGUGCCUUAUAUUCAGAUGUUAUUCUGCGUGAUGUGAUCGAGUACAGUGUAACUACUGUCAAACUUAGAGAACAGACUUUGAAACAGUCAGAUCCAUGAUUUCACCACAUAGUGCAAAUUAUAGAUCAGUAUGAUUAAGGUCCUGCGUCAACUGAUAAAUAUGAGCAGCCACCACUUUGUCUGCUUGAGUCGACCACGACUGGCUCAGUAGGCAGCAACAGCACACGCACUCCGAGCCGCGUAAACAGUGCUCUAAACAGGCGGCAGUGAAUAGAAUUAAGUCAUGUGCUAUUCAAAGCACAAACGCCAAGAUUGCCCAUCCGGACAAGCAUAGUGUUACACUUUUGGCAAGAAAGGUCACGUAUGGUCCAUAUGUUUGUAAUGGAACAAACAUGAGAAUUCUGCUCACUCACAUAAAUCUAGUCACAAGGCCCAUGUAACCCAUGCAGUGUAUUCAUAGCCCACUGCAGACAUUAGCGAAACUAGCAAGCAAACAGUUUCUUCAGUGCUAUGCCAUUCCAACAAACUUUUUGUUCAUUUGCAUAUUAGUGGAAAACGUGUGAAAUUUCAGUUGGGCAUGAGUGCCUCUCUUACAUUGCUGAAUACUAACACAUAUGAACUAUUAGGCUCUCCACUCCUGUUUCAAACUAGCACUCACCCGAUGGCUCAUAAUGGACAAGACAUUUCCGUUCUCGAAAUAUGUGCUUUGUCUGCCAUGUACCACUCACAUACGCGAACUGUGACUUUGACUGUGCUACAAUCACGCGACUCUGAGAACAUAUUUGGCUUUGAUUCGUUUGAUUUGUUUGGCUUUCAAAUUCAGGACAAUGUGUUGUCAGUAACUGCAUUCAGUGCCACAGACAGUAUAGCUAGGUUGCUGAAAGAAUUCCCUGAACUGUUUUAUGAAGGUCUAGACAAGGCUAACAAUUUUGUUGCACAUAUUACUAUGAAAGACAAUGUUCAGACGAAAUUGUGCCAGGUCAGACCUGUUCCCAUUGCAUUACAAAACAAAGUAGCUGCUGCACUUGAAGAAUUGUCAAGAUAACAGAGCUAUUGCGCCCAUAAAAGCUAGUCAGUGCGCAAGUCCACUGGUUUUGCUCCCCAAACAUUCAGGUCGCAUUCAUCUCUGUGUUGACUUAAGGUCUACGGUCAACCCACAAACUGUGAUUGAUAGUUAUCCAUUGCCAUCUCCAGAGGAUCUCAUGGACAGAUUAGGCACUGGUCGCUACUUUUCAAAAAUUGGUUCGCGGGAUGCAUAUGUCCAAAUAUCACUAGAUGAAGAAUCUGAAAACGUGUGUGUUGUGAACACUCAUUUGGGCUUGUUUAAAUAUUUGCAUAUGCCUUUUGUCAGUGCUUCCGCACCCUCCAUUUUCCAACGGUAUUUGGAACAGCUGACUAGUCAAGUACCAAACUGUUCAAACUAUUUGACGAUAUUGUCGUAGCAGGUCGUACAAAUGGAUAACACAUUGCAAAUUUGUGUGUUUUGAUUCGUGUCUUAUCUGAUGCAGGACUAAAGUGUAGACUGGAGAAAUGUGAUUUAUUUAAACCUGUUUUGCAGUAUCCUGGCCAUGUCAUAAACAGCCAAGGUGUACAUCCUCUUCAGUCACAUUUGUGAGUCAUACGUGACCUGCCAGUUCCUCGUAAUGUCACAGAAUUGCAGUCAGUCUAAGGGAAAAUGAACUAUUAUAUUCGGUUCGUACCGAAUGCUGCAUAAAUCGCAGCUCCAUUUCAUCGCUUGAGUCGCAAGAACGUCCCCUUUGUUUGGAGAGAUGAGUGCCAAUUAGCUUUUCGAAAACUUAAAGAUGCAUUGCUCAGUGAUCGAUGCUUCGUUCACUUUUAUCAGAACAAAAUGGUUGUGCUGGGAGCUGACGCUUCCUCUUGCGGAAUAGGUGCAGUGCUUUUGUACGGAAUUGGUGAUACAGAUAGACCUAUUGUUUUCGCAUCAGAAAGUGUUGCCCAAAGCUCAGUGUAACUAUUCACAAAUAGAGAAAGAACUACUGGCUAUUGUGUAUGGUGUCACCAAAUUCCACCACUGUUUGUAUGGCAGAAAAUUCUAUUUAGUAACGGAUCGCAAGCCAUUACAGUCAUUGUUUCAUCCGAUGUAGCCAGUUCCUGUACGAACUGCCCAAAAAUUGCAAAGAUGGGCUUUGUUGUUGUCUCAAUACCAGUACGAGAUUGUGUAUCGUCCGAGAGCUCAUCAUGGUAAUGCGGACGCCCUUUCACGUCUUCCGAUUGGCCCUGAUACAGAUUUGACGCUUCUGCUGCAUCUUGUUGUCAAGUGUGUUGAUCCCCAAAGCUUUGCGAAAAGAAGUGUUGCAGUUCCUUCACCAAGGACACUGGGGGAUCGUUCGUACGAAACAACGCGUCGACACUGUACUUGGCAUGGUAGGGACACUCAAAUAGAACAGAUGACGUCACAGCGUCACGCAUGUGUGGAAAAUCAGUAAGCUCCGCCACUAAAGUUCUCUGCUUGGCCUAAGUCGCUGUCAUCAUGGCAGCGUGUGCACAUAGAUUUUGCGGGACCUUUUUGGAACAUUCGUUGGUUGGUUGUGGUAGACUCUUAUUGCAAGUUUCCUUUUGCUGUGCCAGUGAACUCGACAACGUCACGUAGCACAGUUCAGGCACGGUCCUCUGUUUUCUGCCUCGAAGGUCUGCCUGGAGUCAUAGUGUUGGACAAAGACCUCACUUCACGUCAAAUGAAUUUGAAACAUUCUGUGAACGCAAUAGCAUACAGCAUCUAACUAGUGCACCGUUCCAUCCACAGUCAAACAGCGAAACGGAACGUUUCGUUAGAACCUUCAAGAAGCAGAUGGCCAAACUUCGCACCGCACACACCAGGGAUCAAGCAUUGCAACAAUUUCUCGCCUCGUAUCGUUCGCAUCCACGAGGUGGACCAUCACCGGCGGAGUUGCUUCACGGCUGCCGCCAUCGGACACUGCUCCACUUGCUCCACCCUCCUCAGCAUCCGGCGCCGAAGGAAGGGAGCAAGUAUCGCUUCCGCCGCAUGAUAUUGUGUUUCUCAGGGUUUUUAGUGGCAGCAGACCGGGGGGCGAGAGGUGAGAUCUUUCGUCGACUUGGCGUAUGCAUGUGUCUCAUUUCAGGCCCAGACGGACUGCAGCGCCGACAGCACAAUCAAAUUCGCCACUGUCAUGUGCACGGUGAUCCUUCUGUAUCUCUUCCCCCAGGUUCACGGAUCCCGAGAACAGCGCGGCCACAGCAGCCGCCGGAGGCUGUCAUCACGGCACCACGGGACGACCCCAUGGAGAUGGAGCCUCUGCUUCCUCCGCCUCCUCUUUUCCUACCGAUGGAGCUAGACCCGCCUACGCCGCAGCGGCCGAGAGCUUCUACAUCAUGGUAUGGGGACAGGAGGUGGACGCGUACCCUUCUGUGCGUUUUCUGGGGGACGUUUCCACCAGAGCGAAUGGCGGAGUACGACCGGAAGUCUGACGUCCCCUGCAACCACAGCUUCCGGUCCAUCAGAGCGUCCACGCUCCUGCCUCUCCUCUCAUUGUCGUGCUCUUUAUACGACGACUGUUUGUUGCUUUGCGGAGGGGGGGGGGGGGGGAGGAGGAAUGUUACGGCGUUAAGUCAAGCGCCGGCACGCCAGUCGGGAACGAGAGAGAAGAGAAGGCUGUGAGAAGCAAGUCAGCGAAUGGCACGCUGACCGACACCUCUCCAGGACGACAACGCGAUAUGCACCGGCCCCUAUAUGAAGAGGACAUAGGCGCCGCGACCGACUCGUGACGGCCCAGUUCAAUAGCAGCUUCAAGAUUAGCGACUUCGAUAGCAGCUUCAACUCUAGUAACUUCGCUUGUACUCUCUAUGUAGCACAGACUUAGGAUUGUUUAUACUGAAAAAGAUUUAUUAUUUUGUAUGUCGCCCUUUGCUUGUGACUCAUCUAUGUAAUUUCCAAAGUUAAGUACUGUAACUUUCUUUUUGUAAUAAAACUCAUUAAUAGGA